ACCAAAACCAACCUGAGAUGAAUAGAGGUAGAGAGAAGAAGAGAACUCUUCAUUUGAUUGUUCCUUUAAGAUAUAUAUCAAACUUAGGAACAAUAACACAAGUGAAUAUGUGAGAACUCUAUGGAAGAAAACAAUCACAAUAAAGAAAUACACAAGUUACACAAUGAUUUUAUCCCGUGGUUCGGCCAAUGCCUACUCCACGUUGUGGUGACCUCGUUCUGAGGGGCACCACACCGUCCGGUGGGUGGUACCAGAAAACCAGAUUGUCCGGUGCUCCAAGUGAUCGUUGGUCCCAGGCCGACGUGUCUACUAGUCAUUGGUCGGCUGGCACAUUGGAUUGUCCCGCGCUCCGUGCGGACUUUCUGAUGAUUUAUAGCCUACGCUUGCUGAUUUUUCUCCAGAGCAGCCAUUUGGUCGGACCGUGCAUCGAACUGUCCGAUGCACACCGGACUGUCCGGUGGGUGGCAUCGGACCGUCCGGUGCUACACAUAGUAGUCCAACUUUCUCUUUUCUAUUUAGAAUCUUUUUUGCUCCUUUUGGCUUGACUUCGUAAAGUCCCUAGCACUUAGAAAAAUAUGAUUAGUACCCAAAAUAAUUGACUAAGUGUCCGGAGCUUACCCUUUUCACUUGGUACCAUAUAGAUUUGUAUUAUGCCCUAUUUCAAGCUCAAUUUGCUUUUAUGUACCUAUGAUCAUUGCUCAUGUAAGAUGAUGUCAGUAUAAAUAUAAUGUGUUGAGCAUUUAAUCACCAAAACGAAGUAGAAAUGGCCCAAUAAUAUAUUUCCCUUUCGUUGGCGGUGUAGGUUUUUGGAAAGUAUAGGGUCAGUUUACAAAAACCAGGGACCCGUAUUAACUGAUCCGUACGGAACCUAGACGACGGGUUGAAUAAAUAAAAUCAUAGGGGCUCUUAUGCAAAAUGCCAUGGCUGAUCUAAUGUGUGCACAACCAGAGCCCAAGGAUCUGAGAUCUACGGUUUGGGAUCAAACUACGAAGGGGUAUGCUCCCGUUCUAAUCGUGGUCGACUAGAACCCGAUCGACGGCGAGUCUCAUUGACGGCACACACAUCUUCUCCCCCAACCCACCAGGAUUCACGGUGGCGCGCGCGUGCUCCCGAUGGUGUCUCGCCGGCGUUCAACCAUCUCAUGUCUCAGAGCACUAAUCCACACGCAAACCGGUGGUACCUGAAGUGGACGCAUAGGCAAAAAGGCUUGGUGGGGUGCUUACCGUCGAUUAUGCCAUAGAGGUGCUUGCUCUCGUCGUGGCGCGGGUCCACGGAGGGUGGUUGGCACCGGAGAAAAAUUCCGAGCCCGCCGAACAGUAAGUGCGCCCAUAGCUUCAUGCGUACAUCUUCCAUGGGAUCUGGGUUACUCCCUGGACCAAGUAUGAAGGCCGCUUUAGCGACGCAUCCAUGUAUCAUUGCCAACGGCGAUCUCUCUCCUCCCUCUCGGCUUUCUACACCCGGUCGAAGGUGACGACGCACGAUAGCCAGAUGGGUGCGGCAACUGGUUCUUAUACCCGGGGGAGGU
rnacentral:lncRNA from 1 species